rnacentral:rRNA from 1 species
GGACGAGUGGUAUCCUGAGUAGUGCGGGACCGGAGGAAUCCUGUAUGAAUUUGCCAGCACCAUCUGGUAAGGCUAAAUACUCCCUAGAGACCGAUAGUGAACCAGUACCGUAAGGGAAAGGUGAAAAGCACUUCGAACAGAAGAGUGAAAUAGUUCCUGAAACCGUGCGCCUACAAGCGGUCGGAGCCUGUUAAAGGGUGACGGCGUGCCUUUUGCAUAAUGAGCCUACGAGUUACUCCUCACUGGCGAGGUUAAGCACUUAAGUUGCGGAGCCGCAGCGAAAGCGAGUUCUAACAGAGCGUUAUAGUCAGUGGGGGUAGACGCGAAACUUUGUGAUCUAUCCAUGGGCAGGUUGAAGGUUUGGUAACACAAACUGGAGGACCGAACUCAUUAGCGUUGAAAAGCUAUGGGAUGACCUGUGGAUAGGGGUGAAAGGCCAAUCAAACUGAGAGAUAGCUCGUUCUCCCCGAAAUGUUUUUAGGAACAGCCUCGUUUAAAGGUAUCAUAGAGGUAGAGCUACUAAUUGGGCUAGGGGGCUUCACCGCCUACCAAACCCUAAUAAACUCCGAAUGCUAUGAUAUAAGAACGGGAGUGAGGCUGUGGGCGCUAAGGUCCAUGGCCGAGAGGGAAAUAACCCAGAUUAACAGCUAAGGUCCCUAAUCGUAUGUUAAGUUGAACAAACGCAGUUCAAAUCCUAUAACAGCCAGGAUGUUGGCUUGGAAGCAGCCAUUCAUUUAAAGAGUGCGUAACAGCUCACUGGUCGAGGGUUUGAGCACGGAAAAUGAUCGGGCAUCAAACAUACAACCGAAGCUUUAGGAUUCUGCCCUAGGGGUAAGAAUCGGUAGGGGAGCAUUCCAAACUGCAUUGAAGGUGUAUCGCGAGAUAUGCUGGAGCGUUUGGAAAAGAAAAUGUAGGCAUAAGUAACGAUAAAUAAGAUGAAAAAUCUUAUCGCCGUAAGACUAAGGGUUCCUGAUCAACGUUAAUCGGAUCAGGGUUAGUCGGGUCCUUAGGCAAAGCCGAGAGGCGCAGCUGAUGGCAAACUGGUGAAUAUUCCAGUACCUGCUAUAAUUUCGAUGGGGUAACGGAGUAGUGAAAGGACUGCGCACUUACGGAAUAGUGCGUUAAAGGGAGUAGUUAUAUUCUGUGUAGGUAAAUCCGCAUGGGAUGACGAACCUGAUAGUACUGCAAAGCUUCGGCAGCGCAGAUAAUGU